rnacentral:misc_RNA from 1 species
CGAGAUUACUCUCAGGGAGAUUUGGUCAAGAUUUAUUACAUGAGCUAAAACCAUGUAAUAAGCUUCCUUUGUUGAAAGAAAAACUGAUGGAUGACACAUCUACUGAUGGUGAGAGAUCUGAUGCUGCAUGCAUACUAGCUAACCUUCCCCUCCCCGAGGAUGAAGUGAAAGCACUCCUAGGAGCUAGUUUUGUAAGAUGGGCAGUUUUUUCUCUCAAAAACUUGCACCGGAGUGCCAAUGGGAGAAUAUCAAGGCCAGCACCAAGCAUGAUUGAAGGGAUUCUCGGUCUCUUACUCCACUUCACGAAGAACCUUGAUCAGCAAACUCUUGGUAUGGUCAGAGAGUAUCAUCUUAUGGCCAUUUUCUGUGAGCAGCUUGGUUUUCCUUCAAAACCAAAAGCAAAACAACUAGCUGCUCUUGGAUUGAAAAACUUGUCAGAAGCUGGCAGGUUACUUGGUUCUGAUUUAUCAGAAAC